ensembl:antisense Gm15541 predicted gene 15541
AUAUGCAGACCACGCCUACCUUCUUGCAAGCUGAGGCUCUUAGCUGCCGACAGGGUCUCAAGGCACUGGCUGUCUGUCCUGAAGCUCACUGUGAAGACCCUGAACUCACUGAUCCACCUGCCUCUGCUUCCCAAGAGCUAGGAUUAAAAGCCUGUGCUAUCACACCCAGCUUCCAGAAGAUUGCACUCAGGUCAUCAGACUUGGCAGCAAGCACCUGUACCCACUGAGCCCAUCUGCUGGCCCCUCUGCUGGGUUUCGUCAUCGUCAUCAUCGUCAUCGUCGUCAUCAUCACCAUCACCAUCAUCAUCCUCAUAAUCGAGGGCUGACUCCAAGAUCUUGUGCAUAUUAGGCUUCCAGGUGGGGAUACCAAGGCCCAGAGAAGCCGGGACAUGCCUUCUUGGCACCCUAACCUGUGGACACCCACCUCAGCGCUGCGGCUCCUGGCCUCCAUAGCUCUGCAGAGAGUCACCUGGGGGCUCGAGCUCCCGUGUCCUCUCCUCCUUCUGCUGCAGGACCACCUUCAGCUCCUCAUGGAGCAGCUGCCGCUGAGCCUGGGGGUAUAAGAUGGAGGCCUGAGGCAAGGAGGGAUUGUCGGGUAGAGAUGGGGCUUGCCAGAGAGGUCGAGUGCAGGGAUGGCAUCAGGCGGGCGGAGAGUAGGGCCCCUCACCGCUUCUUGAGUGAUGGCCUUUUCUCCUGACAGGAGCCCCACUCGGGGUGAUGCACAGCUGUAAGCAGGAAUCUCACUCUUCCUUUGAGGUCUUGCUGCCUGCCAAGGAGAGAGAGACAAGGGGCGUGGGACAUCAGACAGACCCAGGGAAGAUAGAGAGGGGCAUGCGGAACCAGCCAGCUCUCACCUGAGGGUCACUUCCAGCUUCCUGGGCCUCCUGGGUCUGGGGCUCUAGGAAGAACAACACACACAGUAGUAUUAUCUCAUAUCCCCUGUGCUCGUUCUGACGAUUCUUUGUGCUCAAGUGCCUUACGGUUAUUUCCCAGGCCAGCCUGGAUAGCCUCCGUAGUGAGACACUGCCUCAAAAGCCUGAAUGCCGAGCCAGGAACGCUUGCCCGGUAGUACACACUGGCAGUCCCAUCAUGUCUGGUUUGUUCUGUGCUAGUGAGUCAAUCCCAGGGUUUUGCGCAUGCGAAGCUACCAUUUUACCACCUGAGCUACAUUCCUAGGCCUCGCUUUGAGUUUGAGACAGGGUCUUUGAACACAUUAGCCUCAAAUUCUCUAGGUAGCUGAAGAUGACUUUGAGCUAUUGCCCUCCUCCCACCCCAUUUCAGCCUCCCAAAUACCGGGGUCACAGGCAAAUGUCACCGUCUUUAGUUUACCAGACAGCUACUUUACUGAAAAUAUGCCGUCUCAGAGAAGCCAAGCAAAUUUGUACCGGUGUGGCACACAACCCAAGAAGAAGGCACAGAGAAGGCAGCCUCCAGCCGGGCCCUCCUGGUGACAUGGAGGAGGUGACUGUCUCUGAGCUUGGCCCCCACCUGGCAUGCCAGCCCGCCAACCCCUGCCACACAGGAAAAGGUCAGGCUCAUGCGGCACAUUCCCUCACACAAUGGCCAGUCUGCUGUGCCAGUCACAUUCUGCCCCUGCCCACCCGCCCACCCACCCACUGCCAUACAAUGGCCCUUCAUAGCUCGGCCCUGGAGCAAAGGAGAUCAGUCAGUAGAGUGCUUGCCUAGCAUGCACAAAGGCCCUGGGGUCAGUUCUCCAGAAUUUCCUAAACCAGGCAUGGUGGCACACAACGAUAAUCCCAGUAUUUUUUUUUUUUUUUUAAAGAUUUAUUUAUUUUUUAUAUGUAAGUNNNNNNNNNNNNNNNNNNNNNNNNNNNNNNNNNNNNNNNNNNNNNNNNNNNNGAUGGUUAUGAGCCACCAUGUGGUUGCUGGGAUUUGAACUCCUGACCUUCGGGAGAGCAGUCGGGUGCUCUUACCCACUGAGCCAUCUCACCAGCCCGAUAAUCCCAGUAUUUGGCAGGUAGAGACAGGAAGAUGAAACAAUUCAAGGUCAUUCUUAGCUCCCUAGGCCAACCACAUGAAAUGGGUCUAUGCAACACAACAAACUUAGGUCACAAUUGGCUGAACUAGACAACCCUCUGGACGCAUCCACACAUGCUGUAAUCACACCCCCUCAAGCCCACCACUGGCCCCCAGUAUCUGAAAGCUCCUGUCAGCAACUCCUAGGAAUCCCAGAUUCUGUCUCUAAGCCCAGCCUCCCUUGUGAACCCUUUCGGCUCCUGCACACAAGCUGAACACCUCUCCUAAGAUGGCUUCCCUGUGAACCAGGCCCUGGCACAGGGACAGAGAUCAAGGCUUGGUGAGAAGUUUCCUGUCCAGAGUCACAAAGCCAGGAUGAGGCAGAGUAAAGACCUAUGCCCUUGGCCUCUACUCUACACCUAACUAAUUUGCGGAGCUGCUGGGGAGAGUUGAGGUGAGCAAGAGGAGUCAAGCUGAAUAAAUUCCAGAGGACCUUGUCGGUGCCAGGCCUGGCCGCGGGACACUAUUUUGCUGACAAGUAAAGGAAAGUUAAAGACAGACUGUCGUAAACUGGGUGUGGCCGGAGACUCCUGUAAUCAAAUAGGAUUAUGAGUUAAAAUGUAGCCUGAGCUACAUGAGACCCUGUCUCAAAAAUACUGAAAAAAUACUGGAAGGCAGGAAGAUUUAUGGUUUAUGUCCAGCAACAUGUUCUGGCUUCAUCCUGAACAUGACCAUC